rnacentral:rRNA from 1 species
AACGAACGCUGGCGGCAUGCCUAACACAUGCAAGUCGAACGAGACCUUCGGGUCUAGUGGCGCACGGGUGCGUAACGCGUGGGAACCUGCCCUUAGGUUCGGAAUAACUCCCCGAAAGGGGUGCUAAUACCGGAUAAUGUCUUCGGACCAAAGAUUCAUCGCCUUUGGAUGGGCCCGCGUUGGAUUAGCUAGUUGGUAGGGUAAAAGCCUACUAAGGCGACGAUCCAUAGCUGGUCUGAGAGGAUGAUCAGCCACACUGGGACUGAGACACGGCCCAGACUCCUACGGGAGGCAGCAGUGGGGAAUAUUGGACAAUGGGCGAAAGCCUGAUCCAGCAAUGCCGCGUGAGUGAUGAAGGCCUUAGGGUUGUAAAGCUCUUUUACCCGGGAUGAUAAUGACAGUACCGGGAGAAUAAGCUCCGGCUAACUCCGUG